rnacentral:rRNA from 1 species
AUUGAACGCUGGCGGCAGGCCUAACACAUGCAAGUCGAACGAGUGGCGGACGGGUGAGUAAUGUCUGGGAGACUGCCCGAUGGAGGGGGAUAACUACUGGAAACGGUGGCUAAUACCGCGUACCAUCCGAUGUGCCCAGAUGGGGUUCGCUUGUAGGUGGGGUAACGGCUCACCGAGGUGACGAGCCCUAGCUGGUCUGAGAGGAUGACCAGCCACCCUGGAACUGAGACACGGUCCAGACUCCUACGGGAGGAAGCAGUGGGGAAUAUGGCACAAUGGGCGCAAGCCUGAUGCAGCAAUGCCGCGUGUAUGAAGAAGGCCUUCGGGUUGUAAAGUACUUUCAGCGGGGAGGCGUUACCCGCAGAAGAAGCACCGGCUAACUUCGUGCCAGCAGCCGCGGUAAUAC